UACGUAGGAGACAAGCGUUGUCCGGAAUUACUGGGUGUAAAGCGCGUGUAGGCGGUAGGCCAAGUCUGCUGUGAAAUCGCCCGGCUCAACUGGGCGCGGUCGGUGGAAACUGGUCAACUGGAGGACGGUAGAGGCGAGUGGAAUUCCUGGUGUAGCGGUGAAAUGCGCAGAUAUCAGGAGGAACACCGGUGGCGAAGGCGGGUCUCUGGGCCGAUACUGACGCUGAGGAGCGAAAGCGUGGGUAGCAAACAGG
rnacentral:rRNA from 1 species